GAGUUUGAUCGUGGCUCAGGACGAACGCUGGCGGCGUGCUUAACACAUGCAAGUCACGGGGGCCCGCAAGGGUAACCGGCGAACGGGUGCGUAACACGUGAGCAAGCUUCCGAUUUGUGGGGGGAUAGCCGGCCUAACGGCCGGGUAAUACCGCAUACGUUCACUGGACGGCAUCGUCUGGUGAGGAAACCUCCGGGGCAAAUCGAGGCGCUCGCGGCCUAUCAGCUAGUUGGCGGGGUAACGGCCCACCAAGGCGACGACGGGUAGCUGGUCUGAGAGGAUGAUCAGCCACACUGGAACUGAGACACGGUCCAGACUCCUACGGGAGGCAGCAGUGGGGAAUUUUGGACAAUGGGCGCAAGCCUGAUCCAGCAACGCCGCGUGGGUGAUGAAGGCC
rnacentral:rRNA from 1 species